rnacentral:lncRNA from 1 species
AGCAGAGGCUUGGAGGAGCAAAAUCUAAGAGCGAAGGGCAAAUCCAAAAUUUGAAUGAAGGAGAGGGAGAGAGAACGUCUUUGUUGCAGAGAGGAGGACAUCCAUUUUUUUCUUCAGAGAUGGAAGGAGAGAGGAUAUGAGCGAGAGAGAGAGAAAUAAAUGUGUGCAGGCUGUUAUGUGCAGGUCUAGUGAUAGGGGAAAUUAAAAAAAAAAAAAUGGUUUUGCGGGAGAAGAACUACUUCUACGAGAAAAUCUUCAGUGGCCCCCAACACCUCCACAUGGCGCUUCAUGACUCGUCGGAGACCA